GGGGACGGACGGACGUUGACAAUGGCCCCAGAUCCCUCCUUCCCUCACUGGUCUUGGACAGGCCAGGGAGCCCCUCCCUUUCUUCAAAAAGUGAACAGUAGCACCUAAAGUGCCUAGGAAGUUUAAGACCAUGGUGCUGGCAUCUGAUAAAGUCUUCUGGUUGCAUCAUAUCAGGACAGGAAGCAUCACAUGGUUGAUAGGCCCCAACAUGGACCAUUAAAAAUACAUGAAUGCAGAUGGCUGAAUACAAGAACGUCACAGCUGUUCAUCCCAACACUAUUUGCAGGCGCAUGUCCUCAGCUGAGGCACUUUUACCAUGCCAGUUCUGUGUGUGAGCCUGUCAAACAUGGACUGAAACUUCUGAAAGUAUGAGCC